UACGUAGGGGGCAAGCGUUGUUCGGAAUUACUGGGCGUAAAGGGCGCGUAGGCGGCAUGGCAAGUCAGGAGUGAAAGGCCUGGGCUCAACCGAGGAACUGCUUUUGAGACUGCCAAGCUAGAGUGCGGAAGGGGCAACUGGAAUUCCCAGUGUAGCGGUGAAAUGCGCAGAUAUCAGGAGGAACACCGGUGGCGAAGGCGGGUCUCUGGGCCGAUACUGACGCUGAGGAGCGAAAGCAUGGGUAGCGAACAGG
rnacentral:rRNA from 1 species